CCUACGGGAGGCAGCAGUGGGGAAUAUUGCACAAUGGGCGAAAGCCUGAUGCAGCGACGCCGCGUGAGGGAUGACGGCCUUCGGGUUGUAAACCUCUUUCAGUAGGGAACAAGGCCAGACAUUCUCUGGUUGAGGGUACUUGCAGAAGAAGCGCCGGCUAACUACGUGCCAGCAGCCGCGGUAAUACGUAGGGCGCAAGCGUUAUCCGGAAUUAUUGGGCGUAAAGAGCUCGUAGGCGGUUUGUCGCGUCUGCCGUGAAAGUCCGGGGCUCAACCCCGGAUCUGCGGUGGGUACGGGCAGACUAGAGUGAUGUAGGGGAGACUGGAAUUCCUGGUGUAGCGGUGAAAUGCGCAGAUAUCAGGAGGAACACCGAUGGCGAAGGCAGGUCUCUGGGCAUUAACUGACGCUGAGGAGCGAAAGCAUGGGGAGCGAACAGGAUUAGAUACCCUGGUAGUCCAUGCCGUAAACGUUGGGCACUAGGUGUGGGGGACAUUCCACGUUUUCCGCGCCGUAGCUAACGCAUUAAGUGCCCCGCCCUGGGGGAGGUACGGCCGCGACGACGUAAACGUUAAACGUAAGUAGUAGACGUCGAGACGAGCGACGACGACGACGACGGAGGAGGAGG
rnacentral:rRNA from 1 species